rnacentral:rRNA from 1 species
UACAGAGGUCCCAAGCGUUGUUCGGAUUCACUGGCGUAAAGGGUGCGUAGGCGGUCGGGUAAGUCUGAUGUGAAAUCUCACAGCUUAACUGUGAAACUGCAUUGGAUACUAUCCGGCUUGAGGAAUGGAGGGGAGACUGGAAUACUUGGUGUAGCAGUGAAAUGCGUAGAUAUCAAGUGGAACACCAGUGGCGAAGGCGAGUCUCUGGACAUUUCCUGACGCUGAGGCACGAAAGCCAGGGGGGAGCAAACGGG